rnacentral:rRNA from 1 species
CCUACGGGUGGCAGUAGUGGGGAAUAUUGGACAAUGGGGGAAACCCUGAUCCAGCGACGCCGCGUGAGUGAAGAAGUAUUUCGGUACGUAAAGCUCUAUCAGCAGGAAAGAAAAUGACGGUACCUGACUAAGAAGCCCCGGCUAACUACGUGCCAGCAGCCGCGGUAAUACGUAGGGGGCAAGCGUUAUCCGGAUUUACUGGGUGUAAAGGGAGCGUAGACGGCGACGCAAGUCUGAAGUGAAAUGCCAGUGCUCAACACUGGAACUGCUUUGGAAACUGUGUAGCUAGAGUGCAGGAGAGGUAAGUGGAAUGCCUAGUGUAGCGGUGAAAUGCGUAGAUAUUAGGAGGAACACCAGUGGCGAAGGCGGCUUACUGGACUGUAACUGACGUUGAGGCUCGAAGGCGUGGGGAGCAAACAGGAUUAGAUACCCGAGUAGUC